CCUACCAUACGCUUCCCCCGGUGCUGAUCGCGGGAGAGCCCAAUCACAGGGCGAGCUGGACCCGGCUGUGAUCAUUUAUAAUCCUUGACUCCUCCGCUCCGCCACUUGUCAAGAUGACAGGGGUCAUCCAUGAAUAACACUUCACGCUGAUGAAUGGCUCUUGCCGGCUUUCGGCUCUGAUGAGGGGUCUGCCCGCCGCUGAUUGCAAACACUAAUGAACUUACAGCGCCAUUUGAAAUUCACACGCACCAACAAAGUGCGGGGGGUGGGCAUUUCAGGUCAGCUGAGUCACCCGAGGAGGUGGGAGUGCAAGACACUGCCGGGAAGAUGGAUUCCGAGGCAGAAGGGUAUAAUUAAGGAUUGCCACCCCCGGUAGGCGGCCCGUCCUUCACAGAGCCUCUGAAAAUGACCUGCGCCUUUCCUUCCAGAGUGUCCUCUCCUCCGAGACUGUGAAGCGCAAAUGACCUUCGGACAGGGGAGGGCUGCACUAAAUCCUUAGACUUCCUUACCAGCCCGAGCUCUGCACUGUCUAAAACAAGUGCUCGCCUCCGGGUUCAAGUACCUCCAACAAGUAUGAACUGGCGAGGGGCGCACUCUAGAGUCCUCUAAAGCCUCCAACCCCACUUUCCCCCCACUCUCUCUCCCCCCUAUCCCCCGCCUCUUUCUCCAGUCUUUCCUUAGUUUUGUAGCCCAACACUGCCCCUGCCUCAAUUUUGUUUGCUGUGGGAGGGGGAAAAAGUUUACUGCUGUCCGCGACAAUGCCACUUCCUAUUCACUUUGGUUCCCAUCAAAACUAGCUCCAGGAUCCCAGCCUUCCAAAGCCCCCUCCCUCGCCGCCACCGCCGCUGGCGAGCAGAAAGCCCUGCAGGAGAGCAUUUUAAAUGGCCCGAAGUUCCCACUGUUGGAGUUUUAGAGCAACAAACCCGGCGACCUUCACAGAGCCGCUCACUGGCUUCCCAGCCCCUUGCCACUUCCAGGCACCUUUCCGUUCGCUUCUGCAGGGGCCGGGGUGGGGAGUGUGAGCUUGGGGAGGAGGAGUGCGCGUGGCUCCCGGUGGGGCGCCGGAGCGUCUCCCCGCCCUCCGCUGGGACCGGCCGCCAGCCUGCGGGUAGAGUCAGUGUCCCGGCCUCCCCGGGCCGCCGCCAACCCCUACCUCUCCCCAGCUGCGUAGCAGAAGAACUGGUGCGCUCCGAGCCUUCUCAUUCACCUUCCACGCUGUAAGAGCGGAGGAUUCUACCAACCUGUACCUAACCUGACUCGGCCGGAGAGAAAGAUAUUUGUAUUUUUAACUGCGUGCAGAACAAAAUCAAAUCUAGCAUUCGCGAAAAGAAGGACGACGCCUCCAAGGAGAGCCUGCACUUUUAUGAUAGUUUCUCCAAAGUUUGGGUAGAAUUAAAGAAAAGAAAAUCCUCGAGCGCGAAUUACAGUGCCCAGCCUCACACAUAGUCUUGAGUUCCCGAAGUUGCUAAGUGAGCGAGCGCACCGCAACGCGUCGAGUAGUAAGCAAACCCGACCCCGCUCCUGGGUGCUAAUGAUGCAAAACACCCCCCCACACGUUUCUGGGAACAGUCCUGCUGCACGAAUUUCACACUUAAAAAAAAAUAAUAAGGUUGUGGAGUCGGAUGAAUUAUAUCUCCCUCUCAUUCUAACCAUUCUCAUUAUCUUUAAAAAUGUCAAUUGUGAAGAUAUACCUCAGAUAUUACAAGAUGACCAGGCCAACUGCUCAAAAUUUGCAUCUCUGACGUGAUCAUAAGGAAACUCUUAGGAUGCUUAAUAAAUCACUUUUGUGGUCCAUUUCUCACAAAUAUAUUUUAAGUGUUUAAAACUUUA